GCGAACGGCUCAUUAGAGCAGAUAUAUUUUUCUUCGGUUUAUCCAUUGGAUAACUGCGGAAAAUCUGGAGCUAAUACAUGCAACAAAGCUCCGACUUUUGAAGGAGUGCAGUUAUUAGUACAGACCAAUCGUUUUCGGACGUAGUCUGUUGACUCUGAAUAACGCAGUAAAUCGUCGGUUUAUCCGGCGAUAACCGAAAUAAGUGUCUGCCCUAUCAACUAGAUGGUAGUCUAUUAGUCUACCAUGGUUGUCACGGGUAACGGAGAAUAAGGGUUCGACUCCGGAGAGGGAGCCUUAGAAACGGCUACCACAUCCAAGGAAGGCAGCAGGCGCGUAACUUAUCCAAUAAGAUUAUUGAGAUAGUGACUAAACAUAGAAAGACCGUUCCUAUGGAUCGGUUCUAUCAAUGAGUCGAGUUAAAAAGCUCGUCGAGAAA
rnacentral:rRNA from 1 species